AUACCGAUAGCUCAAUUGGAUAGAGCUCCAGCCUCCUAAGCUGAAGAUGCGGGUUCAAUUCCCGCUCGGUAUA
rnacentral:tRNA from 1 species